AUCUUAGAACUUGGUCCAUCCAAAUGGAUGUGAACUAGGAUUCUAGACUAAAUAUUACAAGUUUUCUAUAUGUUACCUUAAUUGGUUGCAUAUAGUAGCUAGUAAGUUUACCUUGAAAAAAUUAGAGUGCUCAAUGCGGGCUUAAUGCCUGAAUACUCGUGCAUGGAAUAAUAAAAUAGGAUCUUGGUUCUAUUUUGUUGGUUUUCUGAUCUAAGAUAAUGGUUAAGAGGGACGGACGGGGGCAUUCGUAUCGCUACGUGAGAGGUGAAAUUCUUGGACCGUAGCGAGACGUACAACUGCGAAAGCAUUUGCCAAGAAUGUCUUCAUUAAUCAAGAACGAAAGUCAGAGGUUCGAAGGCGAUCAGAUACCGCCCUAGUUCUGACCGUAAACGAUACCAACUAGCGUUCCGUCGGCGGUAAAUACGCCUUGA
rnacentral:rRNA from 1 species